rnacentral:lncRNA from 1 species
UGCCACCCCACUUGCCUGCAUCAAUAUGCAACAGUAUAUUUGCAGAGAGUUUCGCAGAAAAAUUCUAUUGGAGGAUGUUCUGUAGGGCAAUGCCUCUAAUCUUUGCCUAUUUUUGUUCUGUUUUUCACGGGAAGUCACCCACUGAGUGAAAAUCGGUAUACUUGUCGUUGUGGAAGGAGCUGCAGCAGAUGACCCAAUGCCAGUUGACAGUGUGGACGUUGGCCUUCCUUGUCGUUGUGGAUGGAGCUGCAGCAGAUGACCCAAUGCCAGCUGACAAUGUGGACGUUGCCCUUGUGAUAGAAGAGCAGGUGAUCAUACAUGAGCUUCACAAUGUUCCAAAUGCCUUUGCCACUUUGAUUGGGCUUCUUAAUUAUCUGAACAUGGAUUACCCAAAAUGUUUGAGGAAUACUUUUGAGGUAGUUCAGAAAAUAUUGUUGAAGAUUGGUGCAGAAAACUGUACAGCAAAAGUACAUGGGCUGAAGAACCGUCUUCUUUGUUAAGACAUCUAAUUGGUGUGUUUUUGUUUUACUGGCAAUAGUUGAGUUAAUUCCUCGGACAACGAUGCUGUUAUUUGCCUAAAUCUUACAAAUCUCAGUUUUGGGAAGACUUAAGUUAUCCUAUUUUUACGUGUGACCUUCAGUCUACAAACUACAACUGUCUUUUGUUAGAGACCAUUGAUUUGCUAUCAUCUCUUCCCAUUAACUACAGUGCAUUCUGAAAAUGUUUACAGCAUGUUAUAAUUUUUCACACUCAACACCAACUUGGCUUAGAAACCAUUCUGAAGGUUGUCUUUGCUCAGUUGGAUUUUUUUUUUUUACCGUUCCAUAAAACCGUGUUUCAGUGGUACCAUUUACAAAUGUGUAUGGGUUUAUUGGACAGUAGAAUCAUUUAUUUAUUUUUUUGACAAAAUAUUUCUCAUUUGAAAACAAAAUUCUUAGCUGAUAUUGAUUAAAAGACCAAUUAGUGACUGCAGAAUUUGGCUACUCGUUUAAAUGUACCUGAAGACAUGCAUCUAAAAAUAUACAUUGUUAAAAAAAAAUACUGAUGACAAUCAAAAUGCAUUCUAGGGAACAAUACAUUGUUGCAAAUGUAUUUGUUUGUUAAUACAUAGAUUAAUAAAUGUUCUGAAAUACACGAUAGGACUAUUUUGUUGUCAUUACAAGCUAGAUGGAAUUAACUGAUUUCAAUGUACUCUUGAUGGUAAAUCAAUUAUUGUAAAUAUAAAGUCAUUUUGAAAUGGAGAUAAGCUUUACUAAGUCUGAACAUCGUUGAACUGGGUUAUAUUAUGUCGACAUGUUUAAUUAGUCAGUCAUUUUGUUGCGUUUGAAUAGUGGUUCUCAACUUGCAGCCUGUGGCAAGCUUGUAUGUUAUGUCAUUAAUAGUAUAGUUAUUUAUUUGUGUGGGCUGCUUGACUUGCUCGUAGCCACAGUGUAGCACCACCAGCCAAACAGGUUGAGCACUCUGUGUUACAAUAACUCAAUAUGAAAUAGGCUUGACUUAAGUUAACUCUUUUAAAUGUGUCUUUAGAUCAGAUAACUCACACUUUAAUGUUGUUUCAACUUGUUAUUUCCAGUCAUCUAGUUGCGUGGCCUUUUUCAAGCUCAGAGCACUUAACAUGUCACGUUAUCCUUGCUUAGACCAUUUUGUUAUGAAAGCUGUAUUACUAGUUACAAUAACUUAAUUGAAAGUUGACUUAACAAAAAUGUGAAAUUAAUUCAACUAAAAAUGGUCGGUUAUACUGACAUGAUGUGGACUUAAAUGUUUUUUAUUCGUCAACAAUAAAUGUUGAGUUAAUAAAUGUUUAAGUUGAUUCAAAUGAGAAUAGUAAGUUACACUGAAAAAUGAAGCAGUGGACUUAACUGUCUUUUAUUUGUCAACAAUAAUGUAGCUUUAGUUAUUAGAACUCCACAUUUAUUGUUAACAUAACAAAGGUUUAAGUUGAUUCAAAUAAUAUUAAAUUAAGAAUUAACAAAUGUCAAAUUAACCGUCUAUUGUUAGUCAAAAUAAAUGUAUUAAAAGCUAGGAUAACGUGAAAUGUAAAGUAAACUGAGCUUGAAAAGGGCUACGCAACUAGAUCACUGGAAAUAAUAAGUUGAAACAAAUCAUUUUUUGUGUAUUAGCCCAUACAAACGUAUUGAAUAACAGAUUCACUACAUGGAACAACAGAUAGUCCCCCCCCAAAAAAAAAAUCUAAAGGAAGUUUGUUCCGAAGUGUCUGUUCUAUAUCUGAGAGAUCAGGAAACACGUUUUUUUUUUUACAUGCAACAGUUUGUGACAACUAUCGGUAGAGUAGAAAAUGCGAUGGAAACAAAUUGAACUUCAGGUUUUUAUUCUAUAGGAAGCAGACCCGUCUUCCAGGGCAGGUGGGGUUGAGCCCCACCUGUUUUGAGCCCCACCUGUGUAGCAAAUCUUUUUUAUAAAAAAUGGUUGCCUGUUUUGCAUGUUGUUUCAGCAUUAAUAUGUGUCACAUAUCAGUUUGCAAACAAUGUAAUUUUUUACAUAAUUGAGUUAAUAAAGCAGCAUACAAACAGUC